AUCCCUCUUAGGCUGUGUCAACAGCUACAUAUUAUACAUUAAUUAGUAAUUGACACAUCCAUCUUUUGGAAUUAAUUUUGUGAAGUUUCCCAUUCAAAUUAUUGGCCAAGUAACUAUCUAGGAACUAUAUUAUUAUUCUACUAGGAGAUUAGCUGUGCCAAGAGUAUUGGACGUCGUUAGAAUAUGUGUGUUUUGCAUCAAAAGGAAACGACGAACUUUUC
rnacentral:lncRNA from 1 species